UACGAAGGGGGCUAGCGUUGUUCGGAAUUACUGGGCGUAAAGCGCGCGCAGGCGGUUCUUCAAGUCAGUGGUGAAAGCCCGGAGCUCAACUCCGGAAUUGCCAUUGAAACUGUAGAACUUGAGGAUGAGAGAGGUGAGUGGAAUUCCCAGUGUAGAGGUGAAAAUUCGUAGAUAUUGGGAAGAACACCGGUGGCGAAGGCGGCUCACUGGCUCAUUUCUGACGCUCAGGCGCGACAGCGUGGGGGAUCAAACAGG
rnacentral:rRNA from 1 species